UACAGAGGUGCGAGCGUUGUUCGGAAUUAUUGGGCGUAAAGGGCGCGUAGGCGGUGCGGUAAGUCACCUGUGAAAUCUCCUGGCUCAACUGGGAGCUUGCAGGCGAAACUGCCGUGCUGGAGUGUGGGAGAGGUGCGUGGAAUUCCUGGUGUAGCGGUGAAAUGCGUAGAUAUCAGGAGGAACACCUGUGGCGAAAGCGGCGCACUGGACCACACUGACGCUGAGGCGCGAAAGCUAGGGGAGCAAACAGG
rnacentral:rRNA from 1 species